UUAGCCUUGUUGGGUUGAUGUCGUUCAACACACUGCUGCUUCUGCUCCUGCUGCUUAGUUAGGCAUUUUAGCUUUGCAGAUAAAGCGCAGAAAGUUGUACAGCUGUAAAAGGGUAAUUUUUUCUGAUCUUAUUCCUCCUCUCUUCAUCUAAUUUGAUUACCUUUUUCCACUCACUAUGCUGUAGUUACCAUAAAUAAUUUAUUCAUUAUAUUUAUCAAUGAGUACUAACCCUCUUCCCUCCACAUUGCUACUUACUAGUACUCUUUUUUUUUAUUUCUAUUGUCUGCUGAUAUGCUUUUCUAUCUUCUCCUAUUCAUCAGCCGCCUUCUUGUCUGGAUUAGCACUGCACACAAGCAUGAUAUUGGAAAAAUGAAAAAUUGGGGGGUUUGUCCCCAUUUACUCAUUCCUUAAAGAGUAAGUAGCCUCAUUCUGAUGCUUAUCUCAAUGUUUUGCCUUUGAUCCAUCAUUCUUGUCUUUUAAUUUAACAGAUACAGCCUUUAGACUUUUAUGGAUUUAGAUUCCUCAUGGGAUGCUUAAUUAGUCUUUGUAACAGUCUUGUUACUGUCGACAGUUGAAAAUAAAACUCAUUCGUUACUAAUUAUAUACAUUUUUUGGAUUUGUCACAGAUAUUGUAAUAAUUACAUUACAGAUAACACUUUUGGACAGUGAAUCAAAGAGCUUUACUUUGACGAUCCAGGUGAUAAAUUAUUACCUUCUAGCUUCUUCUCUUUCUGAUUUUGUGUGCGUGAAACUUCAUAUUAUUAUAUGACAGAUAUAAAACUCAUGUUAGGAUAAGAAAACAAAGUGAAACAUUUCCUCUCAUAAAAAUCGUCAUUUUGAUUCAUCCGAGAUGUGUAGAACGUGGAUUUAUUGAUUUGAUUGAUCUAUGUAAUUGAAGGUGACAAAACUUGCUACUUUUUGAAAUUAUCGCGUGUGAAUUAAUAUAUACUGGGUAAAGAGAGUUGUGCUGUGUGUAGCACUGAUGGGGCACAAGUAUGCACAAGGAUGCACUUUGCUUUAGGUUUACAAAAUGCAAGACAUUUUCCUUUUACUAUAUAUAUAUUUUCUCCAUGUUUAUUUGGAGUAAUAGACUCAUAGGAACCACUUGUAUAUACAUGUUUGAAAAUAUUAGAGUGGCAUUGAAUGCAAAAUACGCUGUUCAAGGCAUAAAAAGGAGAUAUCAAACGGAAUGUGGUGUUCUCACGGUGUGAGAUGGGAAAGCAAAAGCAACACAUAGGACAGUAAGAUCAACAGUAAGCGAGACUAGACAUAUAUAGGAGCAGGACCUUUCUUUAGGCUACACAGACUUGAAUGUGAUGCUUUUCUAUUAAAAUAUGUAGGAGUAUCUCAGAUCCUUUGGGGUAAAGUCAAUUUCCAUGAACUAUCAAAAGUCUUGGAAGAAUCCUUUUGUCACUGCUGGAAUUUAAAGAAUGAAAGAGACUAGAAAUGAAACUUUUUUUGGGGAUGAUCUAGUUCAUUUCAAAUGCUUAGAAAACCAACAAGAAAUCAGACAAAAUUACUUAGGAUGAAACUAGGCAAAUAAAACAUCAAAAUCUUUAUUCUUUUCUUUGAUCUUUAUUGUAUAUAUUCUCCUAUCAUUCUUGCUUAUAAGGCAGUCAUGAUCAUGCAUAUAUCAAGUUAGAUAAGGAAAUAAAAUGAUAUUAAGAAAGAAAGACACAAACAUACAAACAUAUUAAUCUAUUAGUCAUGAGGUAACAAUAUGAAGGUGAUUUUUGUAAUCCUAUUUCAUUUUCCAAGGAAGAUUUGAGAUUCAACAGCUUUAUGCUUCAUACAUAUACAUGCAUGAAAUAAACACCUUCUAUAUAACUAUUAAGAGCAUCCUAGAGUCAUAGGUUGAUUAAAGUUAUCCAUAAAUUCAAGGAGUUAAUUAUUCCUGGCUAGUAUUAGGCUUCUUGUUUAAUUAUAAAACCAAUACUUUAUAUUGAUCAUAUAAUGAUGAUAGUAUGAAUAUUGUUUCUCACCAACGUGAAGGUUAUCAUUGUUUUGGGAAUUGCAUCAUGCAUCCCAAGAUACAGUGUGUUAUAAAGCAAUGUUUCUCAGUUAUACAGUGGUAUUAAUGUUAAUGCAAUUAGUGCUAUAUCCACUUUUAGUUCACAAGUUAAUGUAUGCUACUCAUGGGUUUUAUGCAGAAGGAAAAAUAGAAGCUCCACCAAAUCACUGAAACCAUAUCUUAUGAUUUAAGGACUUCACACCUACCAUUUCAGUGAGGUUUUAGAAACAUUUAACCAGGUACAGUUUUCUUAGUACUCCAAUUUAUAUAUAUUAGUUAGGUCACAAACAAUAUCCAAACACUAAUAUUUAAGUAAUGUUUGCAAACAUGAUAUAGUGUUCAAGUUAUCUGCAAAACGGAUAUGUCUUGAUACCACUCUCAAGAAGUUAUCAGCUAGAUGCAUAUAUAAUCAUCAUAGAAAAUUGGAUGAAGAUAAUAAUAUUUUUUCUGUGCCUGGUUGAUUUAGUGGUUCAGCAUCUUUUUAUACUUGCAAGUGCACUGAGUCAGUUAAUUAACCUCACUGUUGUUAGAAAUAGAAAUAUAGAUGUUAACUGAACCUGUGAUGGGGGUAUUUAUUUCAAUGAAAUAAAAAAAAAAUGUAUAAAUAUAUACAUGUUGAAGAUAAUAAUUAAAGUAUUGAAGUCAUGGAAUACAGUUGAAAACUGUAGGCAAAAUCACCUUUAAAUUAAUACCAAAUCAGUGAGUCUCUGUAUUUAAAUUUUACUGAGCAUAUGUAGUUGGCUGUUAUAAGGCUGGCUGCAUUCACUCUCAUAUAAAUAU
rnacentral:lncRNA from 1 species